UACUGGAGAGACUCAUCGCUGCCCAGCAAGCUCGAGAGGAAAGAAGGGAGCUUCCUGAACCUCAUCCGCUACCAUAAUUUGAGCCACCCCGGUACGAUCCUGCUCCUCCAUAGUAGCAUCUGACACCACUACAGUAUGGUCUGGUACCCCAACAGCAUAACCCGACACCACCAUAGUAUAGUCCGGUGCCCCAAUCGCAUCACCCGACACUACCAUAGUAUAAUCCGGUGCCUCCACCAUACUUGCUACCUACAUGUUGGUGGGAGAGGCAGACUGCUGGUGGUAAUUCAAGUAGGCCACUUUGCCCGUUCCAAUCACUUGGGAAUAAUUCUUGAUGGCCUUCAAUGUAGAGUACCUCCCAGAGCAUCUCCAACAUCUGAAGGAAAUAGAGUUAGCAUAUCUGGUCUAGGGUGAUAU
rnacentral:lncRNA from 1 species